UACGAAGGGGGCUAGCGUUGCUCGGAAUCACUGGGCGUAAAGCGCACGUAGGCGGAUUGUUAAGUCAGGGGUGAAAUCCUGGAGCUCAACUCCAGAACUGCCUUUGAUACUGGCGAUCUCGAGUCCGGGAGAGGUGAGUGGAACUGCGAGUGUAGAGGUGAAAUUCGUAGAUAUUCGCAAGAACACCAGUGGCGAAGGCGGCUCACUGGCCCGGAACUGACGCUGAGGUGCGAAAGCGUGGGGAGCAAACAGG
rnacentral:rRNA from 1 species